ACACGUAGGGGGCGAGCGUUGUCCGGAUUUAUUGGGCGUAAAGGGCGCGUAGGCGGCCUUGUAAGUCAGAUGUGAAAGAUCAUGGCUUAACUGUGGUAAGCAUUUGAAACUGCAGGGCUUGAGUACAGGAGAGGAGAGUGGAAUUCCUAGUGUAGCGGUGAAAUGCGUAGAUAUUAGGAGGAAUACCAGUGGCGAAGACGACUCUCUGGACUGAUACUGACGCUGAGGCACGAAAGCGUGGGGAGCAAACAGGAUUAGAUACCCUUGUAGUCCACGCUAUAAACGAUGAGUGCUAGGUGUCGGGGGUCAAACCUCGGUGCCGCAGUUAACACAUUAAGCACUCCGCCUGGGGAGUACGGCCGCAAGGCUGAAACUCAAAGGAAUUGACGGGG
rnacentral:rRNA from 1 species